AUUUUAUCCAACAUGGCAGCCUCCAUUGGUUUCUUUUCAGACUUUUGUCAGUUUUGAUUUGUUUGAGCAGAGACGUAUAUACGUCCCUGGUUUGAGAUUCUGCCGUUGCAAUCAUCAUUUUAGAAUACCGGUGAUCAGGAAUGAGAAAAAUCGAACUCUAUGUAGCACGGACAAACACAAACAUAUAGCACAUCUUGAGAAAAUUUAUGGAGUAACCCUGCAGACAAUAAAUAGAACUGAAUGUAGCCACAUCUUUUCGUCAGUUCAUUCUUUAUGCAACGAUAUUUCAUCAAGACUCAAAUGUUUCUUUUAAUCAAUAUGUAGCCAUGGGUUGGAUUAUUGUUCAGAUACCAGAACUAUUCUGUUUCCUUUUGCGUACCCGAAGACUUUUUCGCUUUUUCUUUUUAUUCAUUUGUUUGUUGCUUUACUGUGAAUUUUUCCAUUACUUCAUUGUUUUGUUAUUCUGCAAAUGGCCAAUAUUAGACGUGGAUACUCUACAAGCUCCGUCAAAAUCAAACCCGCUGAAAGUUAUGAUAAUAGCUGACACUCACAUACUUGGAUGGAGAGAAGGACACUGGUUUGACAAGCUGAGAAGGUGAUCUUCUAGAUGAAGGGAAAUGGUGUUCAAAAGCAGAGUUUAACUAUCAUGUUAAACGUUUUAAACAAAUGUUUGCAACACCACCUGGUGUUGAAACUUAUGCAGUCACUGGAAAUCAUGAUGUAGGCUUCCAUUACAUGAUGACAGAGCAGAAACACAAGAGAUUUGAAGAAGCCUUUUCUGCACCCUCUGUACAAAUGGUGGAAAUUCAGGGCAACAUUUUUGUCUUGUUGAACAGCAUGUCAUUAGAAGGGGAUGGCUGUAAUCUGUGCUCAGAAGCUGUUUCAAAGCUGGAAAAAAUAUCCCUUCAGCUUAAGUGUUCCCGGGAGCAACUCAAAAAAGAGAAAUUGUCUCCUGCUUGCAAGAAAAUAAGGAAGAUUACUGGUACUUAUACUCAACCCAUACUCAUGCAGCAUUUUCCCAUGUUUCGAUCAUCAGAUCACAACUGCUCAACGCCAGAUGCAGCCCCUCCACAGGAGAUUGAUAUUCCAUUUCGUCCAAAGUUUGACUGUCUUUCUGAAGAAGCUACAAAGCAGGUUUUUAAAUGGGUCAAUCCGAGACUUGUUGUAAGUGGUCAUACCCACCAUGGAUGUCACCGUAUCCAUGACAACGGCGUACCAGAGUGGACAGUAGCCUCAUUCAGUUGGAGAAACAAAAAGGGACCAAGUUUUCUUUUGGCGGUUGUAUCACAGACAGACUUUAGUGUUAACCAAUGCUUCCUUCCCAACGAAAAUACAGUGUUUUCAGUCUACAUCACUGGGUUCAUUAUAAUUAUUCUGUCGAUGUUGUUACCAAGGAAACCUCAUCAUGUGACCAGCUGUGUUGACCUAUCAGAUAAAUCAAGUUAACAGGAAAUGGACUUUUGAUUUCCUAAAUUUGAUUGCAAAUGUCUUCCUACAAGAUGAAAUUGUCUUUCAAAUUCCAUGUAGAUAUGAUUCAAUCAUACAUUAUUAUGUUUAAUGAAAGUUUAUACUUACUGUCAUGUAUUUAAAAAUUAAAAGAAUGUUUAUAAGAGCU
rnacentral:misc_RNA from 1 species